rnacentral:rRNA from 1 species
GUGCCAGCCGCCGCGGUAAAACCAGCACCUCAAGUGGUCAGGAUGAUUAUUGGGCCUAAAGCAUCCGUAGCCGGCUCUGUAAGUUUUCGGUUAAAUCUAUGCGCUCAACGUAUGGGCUGCCGAAAAUACUGUAGAGAUAGGGAGUGGGAGAGGUAGACGGUACUCGGUAGGAAGGGGUAAAAUCCUUUGAUCUAUCGAUGACCACCUGUGGCGAAGGCGGUCUACCAGAACACGUUCGACGGUGAGGGAUGAAAGCUGGGGGAGCAAACCGGAUUAGAUACCCGGGUAGUCCCAGCUGUAAACGAUGCAGACUCGAUGAUGCAUUGGUAUAUAGCCAGUGCAGUGUCGCAGGGAAGCCGUUAAGUCUGCCGCCUGGGAAGUACGUACGCAAGUAUGAAACCUAAAGGAAUUGGCGGGGGAGCACCACAAGGGGUGAAGCCUG